AACGCGGAGGAAAGGGGCGUGGUCUGCAGGAAAGACAACCGCGGGACUGAGGGAUUGUGACAGACUUUCACUUCUUAACUUUGAUCGUGUUAAUUAAUGUAUCGCUUUUCUGUCAGUGCCGAUUCACUUUUUUGUUUGAUCUUACCUUUAUUAUCCUCAUUAGAGGGAUUAUGCUCAUUAAACACAUGUAUUGUGUGUUGUUGAUGAUGGAAAUUGACCAGUGCUGUUGAACUGGCGCCUGCUGGAGACUGCAUCUUCAAAGAUGUAUCUUCUAACUUCAUCAUAGACGAAGAUGAGCAGCGAAUAUGGGAAGGCACAGAACCACCAACAUGGUCUAAAACAUAAUGUUCAAUACACAUUACAAGGUCAGCUAGAAUAAAAAUGAAAUA